UACGUAGGGUGCGAGCGUUAAUCGGAAUUACUGGGCGUAAAGCGUGCGCAGGCGGUUCUGCAAGUCAGAUGUGAAAUCCCCGGGCUUAACCUGGGAACUGCGUUUGAAACUACGGAGCUAGAGUGCGGCAGAGGGGGGUGGAAUUCCACGUGUAGCAGUGAAAUGCGUAGAUAUGUGGAGGAACACCGAUGGCGAAGGCAGCCCCCUGGGCCGACACUGACGCUCAGACACGAAAGCGUGGGGAGCAAACAGG
rnacentral:rRNA from 1 species